GUGACUCAGCGUUUCGCUUUAAACCGACGGGCUCACACCUCCUCCGAUAGACGGAGGCCAAUAACUUGAGACGCAUCCUUCAAAAAAAAAAUUAAAAGACGACAGGCGAUCAAUAUAUGGAUCAGCACAUCAGCUGCAGCUCCUCACACCGACCAGCUGAUGAAGACGAGCCGCCAUGGAGUCCCAUUCCUGUGUCGGUGACGUUCACUUCCUGUUUCCCAUCCUCGCGAGCAGCAGCAGCUCCCACCCACAGUCUGUGUGACGGUGCUUGUGGUGGUGCAGCGUGACGUAGACCUGAACCAGCAAAAGAGCUCGGGCUCUCCUCUCGCGGUCAUGUGCUCUCCAGACCGCGAUAGAAACC